AGAGUUUGAUCAUGGCUCAGGACGAACGCUGGCGGCGUGCCUAAUACAUGCAAGUCGAGCGAGCUUGCCUAGAUGAUUUUAGUGCUUGCACUAAAUGAAACUAGAUACAAGCGAGCGGCGGACGGGUGAGUAACACGUGGGUAACCUACCCAAGAGACUGGGAUAACACCUGGAAACAGAUGCUAAUACCGGAUAACAACACUAGACGCAUGUCUAGAGUUUGAAAGAUGGUUCUGCUAUCACUCUUGGAUGGACCUGCGGUGCAUUAGCUAGUUGGUAAGGUAACGGCUUACCAAGGCAAUGACGCAUAGCCGAGUUGAGAGACUGAUCGGCCACAUUGGGACUGAGACACGGCCCAAACUCCUACGGGAGGCAGCAGUAGGGAAUCUUCCACAGUGGACGAAAGUCUGAUGGAGCAACGCCGCGUGAGUGAAGAAGGGUUUCGGCUCGUAAAGCUCUGUUGGUAGUGAAGAAAGAUAGAGGUAGUAACUGGCCUUUAUUUGACGGUAAUUACUUAGAAAGUCACGGCUAACUACGUGCCAGCAGCCGCGGUAAUACGUAGGUGGCAAGCGUUGUCCGGAUUUAUUGGGCGUAAAGCGAGUGCAGGCGGUUCAAUAAGUCUGAUGUGAAAGCCUUCGGCUCAACCGGAGAAUUGCAUCAGAAACUGUUGAACUUGAGUGCAGAAGAGGAGAGUGGAACUCCAUGUGUAGCGGUGGAAUGCGUAGAUAUAUGGAAGAACACCAGUGGCGAAGGCGGCUCUCUGGUCUGCAACUGACGCUGAGGCUCGAAAGCAUGGGUAGCGAACAGGAUUAGAUACCCUGGUAGUCCAUGCCGUAAACGAUGAGUGCUAAGUGUUGGGAGGUUUCCGCCUCUCAGUGCUGCAGCU
rnacentral:rRNA from 1 species